AUGACUGGAGCCUCAGCUCUUCACUGACUGUCCUCAGGUUCCAGGGGCCACCUGCAGUUCCUUGCCACAUGGAUUUCUCCAGCAUAGCUGUGUACUUCAUCAAGGCACAAGGAGAGUCUCCAGUAUACCAGAGCCCUAUGUAAUGUAACAUAAUCAACAAAGUUACAUCCCAUCACUGUUGUCAUAUUCAAUUGGUCAGAAGCAAGUUACAGUUCCCACCCAGGUCAGAGGGAGGAGAUAUGACAAAGAAGUAAACAUCAGGAGGCUGGGACAAUGGGGAUACUUAAGGUCCAUCCUGCUACAACUUCCACAAUGGUGUCUUGACCAUGAGGGCUCCACAGACACUGAAGCGGUCACCCAGGCUGCAAGUCUUGGUGGCAUUCUCUAGGAAUCACAGUCCCAUUCUUCUGCAAGCAAACGGAGUCACCAUAUGACCCAGCCCUGGUCUUGCUUGGCUUUCUGGAUGUUCUCAACCUUGACAUGACUCCUUAUUCUCCAAUUCAUUUGGACCUCAAGACACUACUACUCUGGCUACAGCCGCCAGGCAUUAAAAAGAUGACACAGAAAAAUUACAGAGUCAGCAUAUAUUUGAAUACUGAAUAAAAGGGAAGAGGAUGAAAUGGAUUUUUCAAAGCUUCUAAAGAAAACAGAACUAGCUGUGUAGCAGACUCCUCUUAUAAACCUCUGCGAAGUUCUACUUGAAAAGCUGUGGUUUCAUUUCAAAGGAAACCAGCAAUCAGGGGGAUCUCUACGGGAAAAUCUCUUCCCUAUGUCUUCUUUAGACUCUUCAAAAAGGAGAGAGAGCACAAAAAAAGAAAAUACACAAGUAAAUAGGUUCAAGUACAUCA